ACACCUCAGCUCUCGUGGUUUGCCAUGACAAGCUUGAACUCUGGAGGUUUUGCUGGUCUUUUCAAUCAGCUCCUCUCAAAUGAAUCAGCUUGCCAGUAUCUGGUGGCAUCAUGGGUGUGAUAACUAUCUAUGCUCAGAGCCGUCCAUCAGGCAACCUUCAGCAAUGGAGGUUUGCUGGAGCUCACAAAUGUCUCUCCUUGGUGGGGACAGCUUUUUGAAU
rnacentral:misc_RNA from 1 species